rnacentral:rRNA from 1 species
AACGAACGCUGGCGGCAUGCCUAACGCAUGCAAGUCGAACGAGACCUUCGGGUCUAGUGGCGCACGGGUGCGUAACGCGUGGGAACCUGCCCUUAGGUUCGGAAUAACUCCCCGAAAGGGGUGCUAAUACCGGAUAAUGUCUUCGGACCAAAGAUUUAUCGCCUUUGGAUGGGCCCGCGUUGGAUUAGCUAGUUGGUAGGGUAAAAGCCUACCAAGGCGACGAUCCAUAGCUGGUCUGAGAGGAUGAUCAGCCACACUGGGACUGAGACACGGCCCAGACUCCUACGGGAGGCAGCAGUGGGGAAUAUUGGACAAUGGGCGAAAGCCUGAUCCAGCAAUGCCGCGUGAGUGAUGAAGGCCUUAGGGUUGUAAAGCUCUUUUACCCGGGAUGAUAAUGACAGUACCGGGAGAAUAAGCUCCGGCCAACUCCGUG